CGUGACCGCAUGGUCUGCGUUUGGAAAGAUUUUUCGGUUGGGGAGGGGCUCGCGGCCUAUCAGCUUGUUGGUGAGGUAAUGGCUCACCAAGGCGUCGACGGGUAGCCGGCCUGAGAGGGUGACCGGCCACACUGGGACUGAGACACGGCCCAGACUCCUACGGGAGGCAGCAGUGGGGAAUAUUGCACAAUGGGCGGAAGCCUGAUGCAGCAACGCCGCGUGAGGGAUGACGGCCUUCGGGUUGUAAACCUCUUUUAGCAGGGAAGAAGCGAAAGUGACGGUACCUGCAGAAAAAGCGCCGGCUAACUACGUGCCAGCAGCCGCGGUAAUACGUAGGGCGCAAGCGUUAUCCGGAAUUAUUGGGCGUAAAGAGCUCGUAGGCGGUUUGUCGCGUCUGCUGUGAAAUCCCGAGGCUCAACCUCGGGCCUGCAGUGGGUACGGGCAGACUAGAGUGCGGUAGGGGAGAUUGGAAUUCCUGGUGUAGCGGUGGAAUGCGCAGAUAUCAGGAGGAACACCGAUGGCGAAGGCAGAUCUCUGGGCCGUAACUGACGCUGAGGAGCGAAAGGGUGGGGAGCAAACAGGCUUAGAUACCCUGGUAGUCCACCCCGUAAACGUUGGGAACUAGUUGUGGGGUCCAUUCCACGGAUUCCGUGACGCAGCUAACGCAUUAAGUUCCCCGCCUGGGGAGUACGGCCGCAAGGCUAAAACUCAAAGGAAUUGACGGGGACCCGCACAAGCGGCGGAGCAUGCGGAUUAAUUCGAUGCAACGCGAAGAACCUUACCAAGGCUUGACAUAUACGAGAACGGGCCAGAAAUGGUCAACUCUUUGGACACUCGUAAACAGGUGGUGCAUGGUUGUCGUCAGCUCGUGUCGUGAGAUGUUGGGUUAAGUCCCGCAACGAGCGCAACCCUCGUUCUAUGUUGCCAGCACGUAAUGGUGGGAACUCAUGGGAUACUGCCGGGGUCAACUCGGAGGAAGGUGGGGAUGACGUCAAAUCAUCAUGCCCCUUAUGUCUUGGGCUUCACGCAUGCUACAAUGGCCGGUACAAAGGGCUGCAAUACCGUGAGGUGGAGCGAAUCCCAAAAAGCCGGUCCCAGUUCGGAUUGAGGUCUGCAACUCGACCUCAUGAAGUCGGAGUCGCUAGUAAUCGCAGAUCAGCAACGCUGCGGUGAAUACGUUCCCGGGUCUUGUACACACCGCCCGUCAAGUCAUGAAAGUCGGUAACACCUGAAGCCGGUGGCCUAACCCUUGUGGAGGGAGCCGUCGAAG
rnacentral:rRNA from 1 species